CGUAACUUAAAAGGAACCCGCCCCGGCCGGCUUGGCGCAGCGGGUAGAGCCUCGGCCUGCGGGCUGCAGGGUCCCGGGUUCGAACGUACCGCAGGCGCAGGCUGAAUCCCCGGUCAGCAGUUUUCCAGGAAUCAGUGACUUUGAAGGAUGUGGCCGUAGACUUCACCCAGGAGGAGUGGGGCCAGCUGGACUCGCCUCAGAGGGCCCUGUACCGGGACGUGAUGCUGGAGAACUACCAGAACCUUCUGGCCCUGGACCAGAAUAUGGCAGAGGGACGGGCGGUCCUGCCAGAUCCCCGAUGCCUGCAGGGGACGAGAGCCCGGCCUGAAG